GCCGUAGCUCAGUGGUUAGAGCACCUGCCUUGCACACAAAAGGUCGCAGGGUCAAUCCCUGGAAUCUCCA